GUGAAUCAUCGAAUCUUUGAACGCAUCUUGCGCCCUUUGGCUAUUCUGAAGGGCAUGCCUGUUUGAGAGUCAUUAUUAUUCUCAAACUUCAGAGUUUUUGUGGACUCUGAAGCUUUGGAUAUGGAGGACUAUUGCUGGCAAAUUUGUGUUGCUGGCUCCUCUCAAAUGCAUUAGCGGAACCGUCAAUGUCUUGGCUCUGGUUUGAUACAUAUCUAUGCCAUUGCUGAGGAGCUUUCAUGGUUCAGCUUAUAAACCCUCCCUUUGUCUCCGAAAACUUGACCUCAAAUCAGGUAGGACUACCCGCUGAACUUAAGCAUAUCAAUAAGCGGAGGA
rnacentral:misc_RNA from 1 species